GACGAACGCUGGCGGCGUGCUUAACACAUGCAAGUCGAACGAGAGGACAAGAGAAGCUUGCUUCUUUUGGAAUCGAGUGGCAAACGGGUGAGUAACACGUAAACAACCUGCCUUCAGGAUGGGGACAACAGACGGAAACGACUGCUAAUACCGAAUACGCUUGGGAGACCGCAUGAUCUACCAAGGAAAGGGUGGCCUCUACCUGUAAGCUAUCGCCUGAAGAGGGGUUUGCGUCUGAUUAGGCAGUUGGUGAGGUAACGGCCCACCAAACCUACGAUCAGUAGCCGGUCUGAGAGGAUGAACGGCCACACUGGAACUGAGACACGGUCCAGACUCCUACGGGAGGCAGCAGUGGGGAAUCUUCCGCAAUGGGCGAAAGCCUGACGGAGCAACGCCGCGUGAGUGAUGACGGCCUCGGUUGUAAGUACUCUGUUGAUCGGGACGGAACGGUACCGGUAAGCGUAAUACCUUAUGAGU
rnacentral:rRNA from 1 species